GAGCGGUGGCGCGAAGAUUGAAUCUUG
rnacentral:sRNA from 1 species